rnacentral:rRNA from 1 species
CAGGGAUUGCNUUAGUAGCGGCGAGUGAAGCGGCAACAGCUCACAUUUGAAAUCCGGCUCCUAACUAAGAGUCUGAGUUGUAAUCUGCAGAGGGAGUUUCGGGUAAAGUCUGGUUUAAGUUCCUUGGAACAGGACGUCAUAGAGGGUGAGAACCCCGUCAAUGACCAAUCACCAACCCAUGUGAAACCCCUUCGACGAGUCGAGUUGUUUGGGAAUGCAGCUCCAAAUGGGUGGUAAAUUUCAUCUAAAGCUAAAUAUUGGCCGGAGACCGAUAGCGCACAAGUAGAGUGAUCGAAAGAUGAAAAGCACUUUGGAAAGAGAGUUAAAUAGUACGUGAAAUUGUUGAAAGGGAAGCGCUUGUGGCCAGACCUGUGCAUAGGUGAUCAGUUGGUAUUUUUUUUUAANUUUUACUAAUGCACUCACCUAAAGCCAGGCCAGCAUCGGUUUCGGCGGCGGGACAAAAGCGUGGAGAAUGUAACUCUCUCUUGGGUGAGUACUUAUAGCUCGUCAUGANAUGCCGCCAGCCGGGACCGAGGACCGCGCUUCGGCUAGGAUGCUGGCGUAAUGGUUGCAAGCGACCCGUCUUGAAACACGGACCAAGGAGUCUAACAUNUAUGCGAGUGUUUGGGUGUAAAACCCAGGCGCGGAAUGAAAGUGAAUGGAGGUGGGAACCCUUAAAGGGGGUGCACCAUCGACCGAUCCUGAUGUCUUCGGAUGGAUUUGAGUAUGAGCAUAGCUGUUGGGACCCGAAAGAUGGUGAACUAUGCCUGAACAGGGUGAAGCCAGAGGAAACUCUGGUGGAAGCUCGCAGCGGUUCUGACGUGCAAAUCGAUCGUCAAAUUUGGGCAUAGGGGCGAAAGACUAAUCGAACCAUCUANUAGCUGGUUCCNGCCGAAGUUUCCCUCAGGAUAGCAGUNACGAUUCUCAGUUUUAUGAGGUAAAGNGAAUNAUUAGAGGCCUNGGGGCUNNAACAGCCUUAACNUAUUCUCNNACUNUAAAUAUGUAAGAANUCCUUGUUACUUAAUUGAACGUGGACNANUGAAUGU